UCGGCGAAGCCCAGUUUCACUUUUCAGCCUCAGUUUCCUUCGUCCUAUAAAGGAAAACAAUACCUCUUCCAUGAACACCACAAAGUGGUUGCAAAGAUAAACGAAUAUAAUAAGUAGAACAACUCUGGGGGUUCGGUGCGCUGGGCUAUGCUGUCAGAUGUGAUGCCUCCAGAUGUCCCCUCUGCUGGAGGAUGUGUCCUGUGUACAUUGUUUCUGCAGUGGGGAGAGGAUGGCCAAGAUAAAGUCAGAGGAGAGCCAUGUUGAGAAUGUAGAUUUGGAGUCAGAAAGAGCCAGAUAAGACUACUGGGACUGCGACUCACUCUCCGAGUGGUUUUCCUUCCUGAACCCUAGGUUCCCUGUCCGUGAAAUACGCUCCUGCCCUAGAGCGGGUGUGAGGCUUACGGGAGAAAAUACUGGAUAACACUUCCUCAGUUC